GAUGAACGCUGGCGGCGUGCUUAACACAUGCAAGUCGAACGAAGCACCUUGAUUUGAUUCUUCGGAUGAAGAUCUUGGUGACUGAGUGGCGGACGGGUGAGUAACGCGUGGGUAACCUGCCUCAUACAGGGGGAUAACAGUUAGAAAUGACUGCUAAUACCGCAUAAGACCACAGCACCGCAUGGUGCAGGGGCAAAAACUCCGGUGGUAUGAGAUGGACCCGCGUCUGAUUAGGUAGUUGGUGGGGUAACGGCCCACCAUGGCGACGAUCGGUAGCCGGACUGAGAGGUUGAACGGCCACAUUGGGACUGAGACACGGCCCAG
rnacentral:rRNA from 1 species